rnacentral:rRNA from 1 species
AUGACAAUGUUGGUACCCGUGUGCAACCGGAAAGAAACCCUUCUCGCAUACACGCUUUUCUUUAAGCACAUCGUGAGAUUGAGGAUGCAACCACUCAUGGUCGGCUCCGGGAUGAUCUAG